GACGAACGCUGGCGGCGUGCUUAACACAUGCAAGUCGAACGAGGGUAGCAAUACCCUAGUGGCGGACGGGUGAGUAACGCGUAGGUAACCUGCCUCAUAGUGGGGGAUACCCAGCCGAAAGGUUGGCUAAUACCGCAUAAGCUGGUCAUUUGAGAUAGUGAUCAGGAAAGAUUUAUUGCUAUGAGAGGGGCCUGCGUUCGAUUAGCUAGUUGGUGAGGUAAAGGCUCACCAAGGCGACGAUCGAUAGCUGGUCUGAGAGGACGAUCAGCCACACUGGGACUGAGACACGGCCCAGACUCCUACGGGAGGCAGCAGUGGGGAAUCUUGCGCAAUGGGCGAAAGCCUGACGCAGCAACGCCGCGUGCGGGAUGACGGCCUUCGUGGUUGUAACCGCUUUCAGCAGGGACG
rnacentral:rRNA from 1 species